CGCAUUUACAAUUAUGUUUUUCUAAAAUGUAUAUUUAAACUAUAAUUCUAAACAUUUCGUUGGAUUUAUUUUCAAAAUUAUAAGGUUUUAAAUUUCAAUUACAGUAAAAUUAAAUAAUAAUAAUGGAAAAAUACAUUUUAGUACUUUAUACUUUAAUGUUUUUAGCAUUGAGAAUAUAUAUUUUAUUCUAUUACAAUUAAGGACAAAAAUUUUAGUGUCAUUAGCACUUUAAGAACAAAUUGCUAACAAUGAUAAACGGCGUUGGUAUGUCAUAUAUAUUGAUAAAACUAUUAGUAAUUUAAAGAUAAAUUGCUAAUAAUAUUAAAUGUCAUUAGCAUGGCAAUCAGCAUGUCAUAUCAACGCCAUCUAACACUGUUAGUUAGGGGUAUGCAAUCGAUCGAUUCAAUUUUGAACCGAACUAAAUCAUUAAAUCUAAAAAAUCGAAACUUAUAUUUCAUGAACCAAACUGAACUUAGAUAGAAACCAAAUCAAACCAAAUUGGAAAAAAUCGAUUUGGUUCGGUCAAUCGGUUUCAAGGCACUUCUCCAUUCCAUGAUUACA
rnacentral:misc_RNA from 1 species